UACGAAGGGUGCAAGCAUUACUCGGAAUUACUGGGCGUAAAGCGUGCGUAGGUGGUUUGUUAAGUCUGCUGUGAAAGCCCCGGGCUCAACCUGGGAAUGGCGAUGGAUACUGGCUCGCUAGAGUGCGGUAGAGGAGAGUGGAAUUCCCGGUGUAGCAGUGAAAUGCGUAGAGAUCGGGAGGAACAUCAGUUGCGAAGGCGGCUCUCUGGACCAGCACUGACACUGAGGCACGAAAGCGUGGGGAGCAAACAGG
rnacentral:rRNA from 1 species